rnacentral:lncRNA from 1 species
AAAUCACCACUGCGUCAUAAUCUUCUUUUCAAAACACAACCUACUACAUGGCUAUUUGAGGGUUCGGCUGGGCAGAAAACAGGAGUUUCCUCCCUCCUCUGGGGUUAUUUAAGGAAAACUCAGUGUUUCCCCUCCUCUCCAUGCAGUUCUGGGUGUGGUUUUGAAACUUCUGUGAAUGAUGUGUAUGCCUUCGACUCAGUCCUUAACUUAAAGAGGGGAGGAGGAGCGUAUUAGUUGGAGCACAGUUUGAGCUUGGGGUUGCAUUGGAGCUAAGGAGCAACUUGUAUGAUCUGCUGUAUUCUCUGUUUAAGCUAUGGCUUUAGGAUCAUCACACUAAGGGCAUAUAAAGACAAUUGGGCUUUAAAUCAAUCCCAAGUGAAAGCUGGCAGUACUUUUGUUAAUGAUCUCAGAGUUUUAGAAGACUUCCAACAUGCACACCAUCCCAAGGGUGUGCCUCCCUGUGGUGAAAAUGGAGCAUUGCGAGUUAUGGGGCUCAACCUCCUGUGCCUACUGAGCUGAUAACAGUUUGAUAUAAUGAGCACUGGCUCAGUUCAGCAGAAACCGGAGUUAUGCCUAUUAACAAAAUGAAACAUCAACAUAAUGCGUUCACAUAAUAAUGAUAAUCAACCAACAGAAAGCAAUCAGCAAACAAGGCAGAGAGAAGAAGUUGGUUCACCCCAGUCAUCCACUAGAUGACCCGAGACCAUGGAGGAAUACUGCUCCUGUCAUUUUUCCUCUAAAUAGAUUACAGGAGCAGAGCUUUUCCAGAUGUAUUUUCUACUGGAGCGUCUAGUUUUCUACAUUUCGACUUCUACGUCUAUUUAAUGUGAAAUGUUUUUUUCUUUGUGUAAGAAAGGCCCAAUAAAACAACCAGUCUAUGCACUAAGAUAAGAUUGUAUAGUUCCAAAAAUAAACUAGUAUACAUCAAAACUUUGCCUCCCUCUCUUUUUGCUUCUCAAAAGAUUAUCAUAGAGAAGGC